GGUUAGGGUAGGGCUAGGAUUAGAUGUAGGGUUAGUGUUAAUGCUGGGUUUGUGUUAAUGCUGGGUUAGUAAGAGUGUAGGGUUAAGUGUAAGGUUAUGGUAGGUAUUUGGUUAUUGCUAGCACAGGGUAAGUGAUAUGGUUGGUAGAGUGUUAAGGGGAGAUGCACAAAUUUAAGGUUUUGGAUCUUAACUUGGACGAUUACCUCUGUCCUUAAGAGAUUAACAAAGCAGGAUAUAAUAACAUGCAAAGUAAACACACUGUGCUGCAAAAUGGGAUUGCAAAUUAAAUAGUUUAUGCAGACUGUGUGUGAGUCACCAGCAGUGGAGGUGUGCCUAGCAUUGCAUAAAC